rnacentral:rRNA from 1 species
AACCCUGAUGCAGCUAUACCGUGUGUGUGAAGAAGGCCUUAGGGUUGUAAGGCACUUUUAAUAGGGAAGAAGUUAGUAGUUCUAAUACAAUUAUUAAUUGACGUUACUUAUAGAAAAAGCACCGGCUAACUCCGUGCCAGCAGCCGCGGUAAUACGGGGGGUGCAAGCGUUAAUCGGAAUUACUGGGCGUAAAGCGUACGUAGGUGGUUUAUUAAGUCAGAUGUGAAAUCCCUGAGCUUAACUUAGGAAUGGCAUUUGAAACUGUUAGACUAGAGUCUCGUAGAGGGGGGUAGAAUUCCAGGUGUAGCGGUGAAAUGCGUAAAUAUUUGGAGGAAUACCAGUGGCGAAGGCGGCCCCCUGGACGAAAACUGACGCUGAGGUACGAAAGCAUGGGGAGCAAACAGGAUUAGAUACCCUGGUAGUCCAUGCUGUAAACGAUGUCGAUUUGAAGGUUGUAUCCUUUUGAGUUAUAAUUUUCGAAGCUAACGCGUUAAAUCGACCGCCUGGGGAGUACGGCCGCAAGGUUAAAACUCAAAUGAAUUGACGGGGGCCCGCACAAGCGGUGGAGCACGUGGUUUAAUUCGAUGCAACGCGAAGAACCUUACCUACUCUUGACAUACACAGAAUUCGGCAGAGAUGCCUUAGUGCCUUCGGGAACUGUGAGACAGGUGCUGCAUGGCUGUCGUCAGCUCGUGUUGUGAAAUGUUGGGUUAAGUCCCGCAACGAGCGCAACCCUUAUCCUUUGUUGCCAGCGANUAAAGUCGGGAACUCAAAGGAGACUGCCGGUGAUAAACCGGAGGAAGGUGGGGAUGACGUCAAGUCAUCAUGGCCCUUAUGAGUAGGGCUACAAACGUGCUACAAUGG